CCUACGGGAGGCUGCAGUGAGGAAUAUUGGUCAAUGGCCGAGAGGCUGAACCAGCCAAGUCGCGUGAGUGAAGAAGUAUUUCGGUAUGUAAAGCUCUAUCAGCAGGGAAGAAAAUGACAGUACCUGACCAAGAAGCCCCGGCUAACUACGUGCCAGCAGCCGCGGUAAUCCGGAGGGGGCCAGCGUUAUCCGGAUUUACUGGGUGUAAAGGGAGCGUAGACGGUUAUGUAAGUCUGGAGUGAAAGCUCGGGGCCCAACCCCGGGACUGCUUUGGAAACUGUGUAACUGGAGUACAGGAGGGGCAGGCGGAAUUCGUGGUGUAGCGGUGAAAUGAGUAGAUAUCAGGAGGAACACCGGCGGCGAAGGCGGCCUGCUGGACUGAAACUGACGUUGAGGCUCGAAAGCGUGGGGAGCAAACAGGAUUAGAUACCCGAGUAGUC
rnacentral:rRNA from 1 species